UUUUAAUGGAAGAGGCGGAAUUUGAGGCUCCAACUGCGCAAUUGUUUUAUAAACGAUUUUUACAUAACUCGCAGUCGGAUGUCUCAUGGGAUCUGAUGCGGUUGACGGUCCGACAUUUGAAGGCGCAGUACCGUAAAGCCAAUGACUAGCUCGCGUCAACGGGUGCAGGACUACAAGAUGAAGCUGACGGCAGAACCAUCGAAGCAAAAAUUGCUAAAAUGUCUCCAUACUACGACCAGCAGAGGGAAAUAUUUGAAAAGCGGUUGCCGGCCACGCAACCGUUACUGGUUGAAAGCAACCUUCCUUCGCCUCAGUUAUGUCCAGUUAGUACUGCACCAGAAUAGUUAUAGCUAACUGCAUUUCUACUGAAAAUUGCCUAAUGGAUUGAGCGUUGUUAAACUGUGCACUAUCUUUGAUCAAGGACAACAGCAACGCAAAUUUAUCUCUUGAGACUCGGAGCAUUUGUUGGUAACGUCCUUCGUCUAAAUAGUCAAGAAC